UUAGAUUUCUAAUUACUUUAUCA
rnacentral:siRNA from 1 species